CGGGUAGCCGACCUGAGAGGGUGACCGGCCACACUGGGACUGAGACACGGCCCAGACUCCUACGGGAGGCAGCAGUGGGGAAUCUUGCGCAAUGGGCGAAAGCCUGACGCAGCAACGCCGCGUGCGGGAUGAAGGCCCUCGGGUUGUAAACCGCUUUCAGUGGGGACGAACCAAGACGGUACCCACAGAAGAAGGUCCGGCCAACUACGUGCCAGCAGCCGCGGCCG
rnacentral:rRNA from 1 species